UUAAAAAAUUUUUAAAAAAAGUAGAAGAGGUUUUUUUGUUUCUUUGUUUGUUUGUUUCUUGGCUCAGGAGUAGCUUAAAAUCAGCCAGGAAGGACAGUGACACAAAUUUUAAUCCAAAACCCAAUGUUUGGCAACUCAAUCUUAAAUGAGAUCCAUCUUAAAACCCAUGUUAAAUGAGAUCCUUACACCUUACUGCAGUAGUCCUUACCUGGUCUUCUUGCACCCAUCCUUGACCCCCAUAUAGCCAAUUCACAGAGCACUCAUAUCUUCUCAAAAUUUGCUGACUGCUCCCUAUUUUACAUAGAAUGAAAUUCAAAGUCUUCACUCCCAUGCCCUUCAUGGUCUGGGUUCCAGUUACCUUCCUGAGUAUAUCUCUUAUUGCGCUCUCCUUUGUUCACUCCCCUUCAGCAAUACUAGCCUCGUUAAUUGCACCAACUAUGCUCCUGCUUCAGAACCUCUGGACUUGCUAAUGUCUCUCUGGAAUGUUCUUCCCUAUGUAUUCAUAUGGCUUGCUCUUCUACUUUAAAUUUCUGUUCAAAUGUCACAAUCAGAGAAGGCUUCCCUGACCACUCUUUUUAAAUAAUCACCCCACCCUGCUAUUCUCUAUCCCCUCAUUCUGCUUUAUUUUUCUUCACAGAGCCGUCAAGACUUGAUAUAGGGAGGUUAAUGUGGAGACACCUGGCUGGCUCAGUCGGUGGAGGAUGCAACUCUCGGACUUGUGCCCUCCUCAGUGCCCAUCACUCCUACGAGAAGAAUUUAAAUCAAGAUUCAAAGGACCGAAAAGAAAACACAAUCUACAGAGAUACAAGCAUUCAAACGCCAAACCAAAAGAUUGCCAAUGCAGCACAGUACGUCUCCAGCUGAAGGACACCUAGUACAACACUCCAGAAUUGCACGUGGGAUAACAUUUCAUCAAAAGCACAGCCAAAGUUGUUCAUGUUUUUCCUAGAAUGUGACCCUGAGUCUGUUCACCAAGUGAGAGCUGGGAAUUCUAGAGGCCUGAGUGAGUGUGUGCUCUGUAUGCACAUACAUAAGAAUAAUACUUGCUGAUAAAUCUGGUAAAAUCUGAA